rnacentral:sRNA from 1 species
ACCAAAAUCGUUCUUAGACUUAAAUAUCAAGCUCUUGUUCAUUGGAGUCCAACUCUGGAAACCUGCAUUGCUGACUUAACACCAGGCUGAGUGAGUCGAAAAGUUUCGAGGUGACAUUCUCAUUGAACCUCCAGAUUGAGUGAGAGGAAAAAGUUUCGAGGUUACAUUUUCAUUGAACCUCCAGCUGAGUGAGUCGAAAAGUUUCGAGGUGACAUUCUCAUUGAACCUCCAGAUUCUUGUCGAAGCAAAUUCCUUUUUUUUUCUCACGUUUCGAACGGAAAUGGAGUUGUUCCAUUAAAAUGUAGUUAGAUUUUGGGGACUCAAUGUUUAGAUUCUAUUCAACGCUGCAUGCUCUGUGUUUGUACAAUGUGAUUCCAUUGACUUCUGCUACUUGUAAUGCCCGUUUAUUCUGUUUUACCAUGUUCUCUUGCGUAGACUGGCAGAAGACGGAUGCCCAAAAACGACGAGAGAGACUUUUAUUGGAUGAACUAGUGAAUGUGGUCAACAAACGUGAUGAAUUGGUGCAGCACUUAGAUACACAGGAGAGGGCCAUUGAGGAGGAUGAACUAUUGGCUAGAGAAAUCUCUUCUGGGAAGUUGACUUUGACAGAGAAAGAGAAUGCUUGCUGUGUGCAA